CGGGCACGUGGCAGGUCUGGAGAAAAGUUGUUUCUUCAUUAACUCCAUUGUCGUCGGGGAAUUACUUCCAGUCACCGGCAUAUUUCUUUACCUUCCAGUUCUUCAUCAUCUUCGAACAGCUUCUACCAGAUUAAGCCUUUCUUUUUACCAAUCGCCUUUUGCAAUGAACAUUGGAAGUAAUUGACUUGAUUUACUUUGCUCAUCGGAUUUCUUCUUUAACCGCUAAAAAUCGAAGCAGUCUUCAGAGAAACUAUCAAACACGACAGGGACUCCAAAUCUACAUACUCCAAUUCAAUCAACUACAACCACUUGAAAUCAAACGACCAAAGUGAACAAUCGCUUAAUUUAAUCCCAUAUGGGCAAGCGAGGAUUUACCAACAAUUGGACGAAGAAUCAAGUACACAGCUAACAAAGACCCAUCAAACCACAAUGAUUUAACACUUCAACAACAUAGAAGUGUUGAUUUGAAGAACAGGCAAAAGGCUUUACAAAAAAACUACAAAUCGAAACAAAGUAUAGAAGAAAAACCGACAAGAAGUUUGAG
rnacentral:sRNA from 1 species